AACGAACGCUGGCGGCAUGCCUUACACAUGCAAGUCGAGCGGCAGCGCGGGGCAACCUGGCGGCGAGCGGCGAACGGGUGAGUAACACAUCGGAACGUGCCCAGACGUGGGGGAUAGCCCGGCGAAAGCCGGAUUAAUACCGCAUGUGAUCUGAGGAUGAAAGUGGGGGACCGCAAGGCCUCACGCGUUUGGAGCGGCCGAUGGCAGAUUAGGUAGUUGGUGGGGUAAAGGCUUACCAAGCCUGCGAUCUGUAGCUGGUCUGAGAGGAUGAUCAGCCACACUGGGACUGAGAGACGGUCCAGACUCCUACGGGAGGCAGCAGCUAAGAAUCUUCCGCAAUGGGCGCAAGCCUGACGGAGCGACGCCGCGUGAACGAUGAAGGCCGCAAGGUUGUAAACCGCUGUCCUUGGUGAAGAAAGAAAUGACGGUAACCAUGGAGGAAGCCACGGCUAACUACGUGCCAGCAGCCGCGGUAAUCU
rnacentral:rRNA from 1 species